AGUAACGGCGAGUGAAGCGGCAACAGCUCAAAUUUGAAAUCUGGCUCUUUCAGAGUCCGAGUUGUAAUUUGCAGAGGGCGCUUUGGCUUUGGCAGCGGUCCAAGUUCCUUGGAACAGGACGUCACAGAGGGUGAGAAUCCCGUACGUGGUCGCUAGCUAUUGCCGUGUAAAGCCCCUUCGACGAGUCGAGUUGUUUGGGAAUGCAGCUCUAAAUGGGAGGUAAAUUUCUUCUAAAGCUAAAUAUUGGCCAGAGACCGAUAGCGCACAAGUAGAGUGAUCGAAAGAUGAAAAGCACUUUGGAAAGAGAGUCAAACAGCACGUGAAAUUGUUGAAAGGGAAGCGCUUGCAGCCAGACUUGCUUGCAGUUGCUCAUCUGGGCUUUUGCCCGGUGCACUCUUCUGUAGGCAGGCCAGCAUCAGUUUGGGCGGUGGGAUAAAGGUCUCUGUCAUGUACCUCUCUUCGGGGAGGCCUUAUAGGGGAGGCGACAUACCACCAGCCUGGACUGAGGUCCGCGCAUCUGCUAGGAUGCUGGCGUAAUGGCUGUAAGCGGCCCGUCUUGAAACACGGACCAAGGAGUCUAACAUCUAUGCGAGUGUUUGGGUGUCAAGCCCGAGCGCGUAAUGAAAGUGAACGGAGGUGGGAACCCGCAAGGGCGCACCAUCGACCGAUCCUGAAGUUUACGGAAGGAUUUGAGUAAGAGCAUGGCUGUUGGGACCCGAAAGAUGGUGAACUAUGCUUGAAUAGGGUGAAGCCAGAGGAAACUCUGGUGGAGGCUCGCAGCGGUUCUGACGUGCAAAUCGAUCGUCAAA
rnacentral:rRNA from 1 species